rnacentral:rRNA from 1 species
UACGUAGGCAGCGAGCGUUGUUCGGAAUACUGGCGUAAAGAGUGUGUAGGUGGUGCUCUAAGUUCGGUGUGAAAUCUCCCGGCUUAACUGGGAGGGUGCGCCGAAAACUGGAGUGCUCGAGCGUGGGAGAGGAAAGCGGAAUCCUGGUGUAGCGGUGAAAUGCGUAGAUAUCAGGAGGAACACCAGCGGUGGCGAAGGCGGUUCUCUGGGCAU